CUACGGGGCGCUCCAGUGAGGAAUAUUGCACAAUGGAGGAAACUCUGAUGCAGCAACGCCGCGUGGAGGAUGACGCAUUUCGGUGUGUAAACUCCUUUUAUAUGUCAAGAAAAUGACGGUAGCAUAUGAAUAAGCACCGGCUAACUCCGUGCCAGCAGCCGCGGUAAUACGGAGGGUGCAAGCGUUACUCGGAAUCACUGGGCGUAAAGGACGCGUAGGCGGGAUAUCAAGUCAGGUGUGAAAUCCUACAGCUUAACUGUAGAACUGCACUUGAAACUGGUAACCUAGAGUAUGGGAGGGGGAGAUGGAAUUAGUGGUGUAGGGGUAAAAUCCGUAGAUAUCACUAGGAAUACCUAAAGCGAAGGCGAUCUCCUGGAACAUAACUGACGCUAGGGCGUGAAAGCGUGGGGAGCAAACAGGAUUAGAUACCCGAGUAGUC
rnacentral:rRNA from 1 species